ncrna:unclassified sequences IS605-orfB-I RNA
AUCUUAUAAAGAUGUAUAAAUGCAAGACAAUUUAGCAUCUCCCUUUAAGGUAAUUUAUUUUAGAAGCUCUAGCAACAAACUUUAUUGUUUUGGUUAAAAAAUCAAUGAAUUGGAAUUCAUUUUUCAGUUGAAAUGAAGUGAGCGAAAGUGAAAUGGGUUAACCGUGAGACCCUGAGUUGAAAAACUCUAAAAUUGAUCUAAAAAUAGGAUUUCUUUAUUUUCUUAUUUUUUAGUUACGAUAAC